rnacentral:rRNA from 1 species
AUUGAACGCUGGCGGCAGGCCUAACACAUGCAAGUCGAGCGGAUGAAGGGAGCUUGCUCCUGGAUUCAGCGGCGGACGGGUGAGUAAUGCCUAGGAAUCUGCCUGGUAGUGGGGGAUAACGUCCGGAAACGGGCGCUAAUACCGCAUACGUCCUGAGGGAGAAAGUGGGGGAUCUUCGGACCUCACGCUAUCAGAUGAGCCUAGGUCGGAUUAGCUAGUUGGUGGGGUAAAGGCCUACCAAGGCGACGAUCCGUAACUGGUCUGAGAGGAUGAUCAGUCAAACUGGAAAUGAGACACGGUCCAGACUCCUAAGGGAGGCAGCAGUGGGGAAUAUUGGACAAUGGGCGAAAGCCUGAUCCAGCCAUGCCGCGUGUGUGAAGAAGGUCUUCGGAUUGUAAAGCACUUUAAGUUGGGAGGAAGGGCAGUAAGUUAAUACCUUGCUGUUUUGACGUUACCAACAGAAUAAGCACCGGCUAACUUCGUG